AGUGGGAUAACUGGGUCAAAUAUUGAUUUCAAGUUUUCUGAGGAACCUCCAUACUGCUUUCCAGAGUGUUUGUGCCAAUUUGCAGUCCCAUCAGCAAU
rnacentral:pre_miRNA from 1 species